rnacentral:lncRNA from 1 species
UGUGCAUGGCACGGGUGUCCUCCUUGUACAAGGAUAGUGUAGAAGAGCUACAAGAAGCUCGACCCCUUUCCAAGUUCCUUAAUGGUGUCAAUGAAGUCCAAUCUUUUAUCCCAAAAAGGAUGCUUUCCAAAACCUUCACUUCGAUACUCCAAAAUUUUCUUGAGCCACAAGCAUAGUAGCAAAUCCAAAAAUUUUAUUUUAUGAGAUCAAUAUAAUAAAAAAAUUAUUUUAUAUGAUCAAUAUAAUAAAAGAAGCAAGGAGCUAUCACACAAAGAGAGAAGAAAUGAAAAAUAAUAAUAAUAAAAUAUUUUUUUUAAAAAUAAAAUAUAUAAAAAAAUAAUAAUAUGUAAUAUC